AAAUCUCAACCUCUUCGGUUUCUUUCGAACACCGAAGGAGGCUUGGACUUUGGAGGGCUUUGCUGGACUUGAAAGGCCAGCUCCUCUCAAAUGAAUUAGCGAUGUUCCCUUUGCCGAUCCUCGACGUGUGAUAAGACGCUUACCACGUCACGGUCUUUGGCUCUUGUUGGGACCUGCUUCCAAUCGUCUCUCUACGAGACAACGUUCGAGCACGCCUCGACCACGUAC
rnacentral:misc_RNA from 1 species